GGAGGGCUCGCGCUUGGGGCUAGUGGUGGGGAGGCAGUGGCCAGUUCAGGGCUUAGAUGAGAGAUGACAGAGUUAGAGGGAGCCACUAGGAUGGGGGUGCGAGGAGAAGCGGGGCUAACUAUAAGGGAGACUAGACUUGGGGACAGUAGUCAUGUGGAAGGAAGCUUCCAAACUGCCUGUAACAAUCCACACAGGGCCAGCAGCCUUCAAGGCCAGGCUAUCCCUGUGGUCUGCUGGCAUGGGGGCACUUGAUGUCCAGGAGGACACAAGUUUCACAAGCCUACAUGGGGCCAGUGUCCUAGCUUGAGUGGCAGAGCAGCAGUUGGAGACAGGUGGCCUUGGGCCCUGAGGCCCUAGAAAUCAUAGAAGACAGGCAGAGGGGUCAGGACUAGGUGCAGUGAGCAGUGGCGGUCCGACUUUGAACUUGACAAUACCAGCAGACCCCUUUUUUUCCAGAUAAGGGGUUGUGAACCCACCUGGGGAUGAGGCCUGGGCCUAUGGAAAGUGGACUUAGCUUCGCUGGGCGGACAGCUCUGACUCAGGGUGGUAUGUAAUUUGGGUGUGGCCUGUCCGCACCCACUUCUGAGUGCAAGGGACGCCUGAGGAGUGGCUGCAGAGACAAGGAGUUGUUUUUGCUGACAGGUCUGCCAGGCGGGGACCACGGAGAUUGAAGGCGCGCGUCUUGGGUUAGCAUUGACCACAGCUUUAUUUUUCAGAUGGCAGUGCCCUCUCUGGACUUUGCCUAGGUCCCGUGCUUCCUCUUCUGUGGUCUCUUCCCUACUCUUCCCCCCUCACUCUGAGGUUAAGGGUUCACUUAAAGCCUUGCCUCUGGGUCAUCUGUGUUCACCAUGGCAAGCAGAUGGCACCAGGAGAAAUGGAGCCCCUGCCAGUAUGAGUCGUAGCAGGACAGGAGGGCACACCCUGGAGGAGACAUCGGCCUAAGUUGAUGCCUACACAGUGAAUUCCAGAGGCUUAGGAGGUUCUGCACUGCCCCUGUGUCCAGGCCUUUCUCAGGAAGCCCUGUGUUCAGGAGGCCAUCGUUUAAGUCAGCUUGUAGGGGGUGGGCAGGUGCUUCCAGUUGGAGGGGCCAUCACCUAUGAAUGUUCAAGAUGGGUGUCUUGUUCUGGGAGCAUCUUCUUCCCCGAUGCAUGAAUGCCAGCAGGCAUCUCCUUCCUGGGGGUAGAGGCGUUCAGCUGCUGCAUCUUCUGAACAAGCCUCCAGCCUUUCUAGUUCUGUGCUACGAACUUGGCCUCAAGAAGAUUGUGUUAAGGUGUAGGACACUUUAACUUCAGCCCAGCUUGAUGCCUUGUAGAUCAAGAGCCCAGUGACCUCGUGACCUCGCCCACCUUCCCUGAUUCUGCAGCCUGCCUGCCUCUGCAUUGGCCGGAGGAAUUAACUGAAAACUUUUGGGUGUUGGGGAAAAGCUGUUGGGUUUUAAAUGUGUGGUGUGGAAUAGUCUCAGAUGGAGCCGGUUAAAUGCGUGGGAUGUUGUGUUUUAGAAGUGUGGGAAGGCGCAAGUUAGCCACAAAUAUCUAACUUGGGCUUUGGGAUGAUUUCUGUACUAAGAAGGGAAUGGUGGGCCUGCAGUGGUCUCUGGGAAUUUCUCUCCAUGGGUUUUUAUUUGGUACUGGGUGGUAGGCAAGUGCUACCCCACUGAGUGACAGUGGUUCUGGCUCCUUUGUUAAUUAGCUUUCAUGACUUGGGGCCUGCCUGUGUAUACCAGGCUGGCCUAGGUUCUCAGCCCUGCUAGGAUGACAGGUGUCUUCUAAAACAUGGCCAUCCAAGGUGAAGCUUGAGUUACUGGAUCAAGGUUGGGAAUACUUUGGGCACCAGAUGUGGGACUUGUGGGAGAGAGCAGGGCUCAGCUUGGCACUGGUGGAUUGGUGGAUUGAAGGAGUUGGGUGCUGGGAAUGGAUGUGCUUGGGAAUGUGGGUUGACGGAUUAACAGUUUGGGAACUAAAUAUAAAUAGCCCCUAUGAAAAUCUAAAGGCUGAUGGUAAAUUCUUAAUGCAAUGUGCGUGACUGAAUUGCAGAGACAGUUGCUUGGAAAAUACCAAAAUCCUACAAGGGGAAAAGCAAAAUUGUUCUGCUACACUGUUCAGUGGGAAAGGGUGAAAUUGAAAAGCUUUUCUUGGUUGCUCAGUAGAUGGUGUUAAUGUCCUAACACAGCCAGCCUGUGGGCGCAGCGAGCCUGGUUUGGGAAGCUGGUUUCCUAGAAGUAAGGCUGGGAAGGGCUUGUAAAUGCUCACAUUGUGGGCUCGUGAAAGGCACUGAGGUGGACAGACUCUCUGGGUCUCUAAUUCAAAUUCUGUCAUACUGUGUGAUCAAGAACUCUAAUGCUGUUGUCUAAAGGGAUUGGUUAUGAGAGUCAUGUCUUAUACAAUACAGGAAUUUAAUGUGUGAAUGAUGAUAUACAUGAUACAGGAAUUUAAUGUGUGAGCCAUGCCUUCAAAACACAUCUUGAAUUUCUGGACUUGACCAGAAGACAGCUGGGUUUGCUUAUUUAACCUUUCAAAUCAGUCAUUGUGACAAGGGACAUGGUCUCGCACUUGCUAUGAGAUCACUGUGAUGUUUAGAAGUCCUCAUCCAUGCACUUUGCCAGGGCUGCACUGAAUACAUUGUGGGUUUGGCUUGAGUGGUGCCUUAAAUCCCUAAGCAGAGGGGAAACAGUUAACUCUCAGUCAAAGCAGUUUGGGAAAUAAAAGUGAAACUGGGCACGGGGGAACAUCUUACUAGUUAAAACACUCUGUAAAAAUUGGCACUGAAAAUACUGUUUGUGUAUUUGUGAAAAUCCUGUAUACAUGUUUUGUGAGUGUGCUUAAAAGUGGUGUAACCAGGGUGUGAUCACUGUCAUUGGAACAGCAGUGUGCUAGUCAGGUUGGAAUGGGGAAAUGUGGAGGAAGCUGUAACAGCAGGCCCACCGCACCCGCUUCUCUGUACUAAAGUGUUAAAGUGCACUAAUGAGUUUUCUCCCCUUUACAGCAAAAUAAAGGUUUGAGAUUGAACCUCC